AAUAUUCUUUAUUAUUUUUUCUUACUUUCACGAAAAUACUUGUUUAUUAAAAGCUCAUCGGUGCAAAUAACAAAUAUCGCAAUAUUUUUGCUCCAUGGUUAUAAUGGAAUAUAAAUAUUCUUUCGAAUGUCUUCUUACGUAAUUCGAACGUAAGUAAAAACGGGCAUAGCGAAUAUAUCUACGAAGGGAAAAUCUGCGGUAGAUAGGAUGGAGAAAUGUCGUAAACGAAAUGAGAUCGCUUUAUAUGCAAGAGACGAUCUACGCGUCGAGAUAUAUCGCUUAAAAGCAUAUUAGUAAAUCGAGUGUUUGCUAUUCCGUGCGCAUAGUCUCUUUCUCUUUCUUUUUCUUUCUGUCUUUUCUUUCUGUUUCUUCGUGAUGCAACGACCCUCUUUAUGCACACGAACGAUACAUCUCGCAAAAUUAAUUUUGUCGAAAUGGACGAUCCUUCAUUUUUCUUUUCCACCUUUUAUCGAGUAUACCCACUGUAGUUCACUAAAUUAAUACGGACAAGUUGAGUCGUCAUUUUUUCUAUUAACGCAUGGACGCGUGUAAACGUCCAGAUGAAAGAUUCGAUAGCAGAGAAGCGGUAAUAUACUGUGAAAAAAGAACAGGCAAAAGAGAAAGAGGAAAGGGAGUAUGCAUAUAAAAGGCUAAAAAAUUAGCAAUUAUAAGUUCCGUACAUUAGCAUACGAGAAGGCGUUCGCUCUCACAAAGCCGUUGAGUUUAAUAGCUUCUGCAUGAAAGCAGGAAUUCAUGAAAGAUCGAUGUUAAAUUUUAUCCCUAGGGCUCCUUUGGCAAAGAAGAGAAUGAGAAACGACGAAAAUUACUUUUAGGAACAAAAUAAGAGGAAGAAAAAGUAAAGCCGAAAUAAUAUGAAAUACACAAAAGUAGAAAAAUAAAAUCAAAACGAGACGACAGAUACAACAAGAAACUAAUGCAGAAAUUGAUGAAUAUGAAUCAAACUUCUAAGGACGAAAUAACGACGAGCGGUAAUGAUCAAAGGUCAAACGAGCACGGUCAUAAAGUCAUCACCUUCGACUGCCGUUCGUUGACGCGUAGCAUCGUAAGCAGACAAGAAACGAGUAGAUCUCGCUGAAUGUCACCUCGAUCUGCGGGAAAGAAAUAGGAAAAGAGACAGAAGAGAACCACUUUGCCCGCUAUAUACGAAUACUCAUUCAAGCACACACGUACACGAUGUUGCUUUCAUAUACAUAUACCUUUAUCAAAGCCGACGGAGUCGCUUAGGACGUAAAGGAGCUUGUCAUGUAAAGAGAACAUGUAAUUGCUGGAGAUAUUAGUUCAUAAACAAUUUUGACCCAUUUCACGUAAAACUAGAUACGUACGAUUAUCGAUCAGAAA